GAUUGAUAAACAUUUGAGUGAGGUGGCGGACGGGUGAAGUAACACGUGGGUAACCUGCCCUAAAGUGGGGAUAACAUUUGGAAACAGAUGCUAAUACCGCAUAAAACCUAACACCGCAUGGUGUAGGUUGAAAGAUGGUUCGGCUAUCACUUUAGGAUGGACCCGCGGUGCAUUAGUUAGUUGGUGAGGUAAAGGCUCACCAAGACCGUGAUGCAUAGCCGACCUGAGAGGGUAAUCGGCCACACUGGGACUGAGACACGGCCCAGACUCCUACGGGAGGCAGCAGUAGGGAAUCUUCCACAAUGGACGAAAGUCUGAUGGAGCAACGCCGCGUGAGUGAAGAAGGUUUUCGGAUCGUAAAACUCUGUUGUUGGAGAAGAAUGUAUCUGAUAGUAACUGAUCAGGUAGUGACGGUAUCCAACCAGAAAGCCACGGCUAACUACGUG
rnacentral:rRNA from 1 species